rnacentral:tRNA from 1 species
GGGAAUGUGACUUAGUGGUAGAGUGCUUGCCUCACAUGCAUAAAGCCUGAGUUCAAUUCCUCAGUACCA